UAACGCAUGGGUAACCUGCCUUAUACAGGGGGAUAACAGUCAGAAAUGGCUGCUAAUACCGCAUAAGCGCACAGAGCUGCAUGGCUCAGUGUGAAAAACUCCGGUGGUAUAAGAUGGACCCGCGUUGGAUUAGCUGGUUGGUGGGGUAACGGCCUACCAAGGCGACGAUCCAUAGCCGGCCUGAGAGGGUGAACGGCCACAUUGGGACUGAGACACGGCCCAG
rnacentral:rRNA from 1 species